rnacentral:rRNA from 1 species
UACGUAGGGUCCGAGCGUUGUCCGGAAUUACUGGGCGUAAAGAGCUCGUAGGUGGUUUGUCGCGUUGUUCGUGAAAACUCACAGCUCAACUGUGGGCGUGCGGGCGAUACGGGCAGACUGGAGUACUGCAGGGGAGACUGGGAUUCCUGGUGUAGCGGUGGAAUGCGCAGAUAUCAGGAGGAACACCGGUGGCGAAGGCGGGUCUCUGGGCCGUAACUGACGCUGAGGAGCGAAAGCGUGGGGAGCGAACAGG